GACAGAGGGUGCAAACGUUGUUCGGAAUUACUGGGCGUAAAGCGCGUGUAGGCGGCUAAGUAAGUCGGGCGUGAAAUCCCACGGCUCAACCGUGGAAGUGCACUCGAAACUGCGUAGCUAGAGUCCUGGAGAGGAAGGUGGAAUGCUUGGUGUAGAGGUGAAAUGCGCAGAUAUCGUCAAGAACACCGAUAGCGAAGGCAGCUUGCCAAGCAACAACUGACGCUCAGGCACGAAAGUGCGGGGAUCAAACAGG
rnacentral:rRNA from 1 species